rnacentral:rRNA from 1 species
GAUGAACGCUGGCGGCAUGCCUAACACAUGCAAGUCGGACGGGAAGUGGUGUUUCCAGUGGCGGACGGGCGAGUAACGGGUAAGAACCUGCCCUUGGGCGGGGAACAACAACUGGAAACGGUUGCUAAUACCCCGCAGGUUGAGGAGAAAAAGGAGGAAUCCGCGCGAGGAGGGGCUUGCGUCUGCUUAGCUAGUUGGUGAGUUAAUAGCUUACCAAGGCGAUGAUCAGUAGCUGGACCGAGAGGAUGGUCAGCCACACUGGUACUGGGACACGGCGCAGACUCCUACGGGAGGCAGCAGUGGGGAAGUUUCCGCAAUGGGCGAAAGCCUGACGGAGCAAUGCCGCGUGGAAGUAGAAGGCGCUCGGGUCGUGAACUGCAUUUCUCGGAGAAGAAACAAUGACGGUAUCUGAGGAAUAAGCAUCGGCUAACUCUGUG